GACGAACGCUGGCGGCGUGCUUAACACAUGCAAGUCGAGCGGAGCGGCGGACGGGUGAGUAACGCGUGAGUAACUGCCCCCCUCUCUGGGAUAACAGUUGGAAACGGCUGCUAAUACCGGAUAGUGGGGGAUGACUCGGGGCCUAUCAGCUUGUGGGGGGGGUAGUGGCCUACCAAGGCGAGGCCGGGUAGCCGGCCUGAGAGGUGGACCGGCCACAUGGGGCUGAGAUAGGGCCCAAACGCCUACGUGAGGCAGCAGUGGGAAAUAUUGCACAAUGGGGGAAACCCUGAUGCAGAAACGCCGCGGGCGGGAUGACGGCCUUCGGGUUGUAAACCGCUUUCAGCCAUGACGCGGUAGUGGCAGAAGAAGCACCGGCUAACUACGUGCCAGCAGCCGCGGUAAUAC
rnacentral:rRNA from 1 species